rnacentral:tRNA from 1 species
GCCCCCAUCGUCUAGUGGACUAGGACAUCGCCCUUUCAAGGCGGUGACGGGGAUUCGAAUUCCCCUGGGGGCACCA